rnacentral:rRNA from 1 species
AACGAACGCUGGCGGCAUGCCUAACACAUGCAAGUCGAACGAGACCUUCGGGUCUAGUGGCGCACGGGUGCGUAACGCGUGGGAACCUGCCCUUAGGUUCGGAAUAACUCCCCGAAAGGGGUGCUAAUACCGGAUAAUGUCUUCGGACCAAAGAUUUAUCGCCUUUGGAUGGGCCCGCGUUGGAUUAGCUAGUUGGUAGGGUAAAGCCUACCAAGGCGACGAUGCAUAGCUGGUCUGAGAGGAUGAUCAGCCACACUGGGACUGAGACACGGCCCAGACUCCUACGGGAGGGAGCAGUGGGGAAUAUUGGACAAUGGGCGAAAGCCUGAUCCAGCAAUGCCGCGUGAGUGAUGAAGGCCUUAGGGUUGUAAAGCUCUUUUACCCGGGAUGAUAAUGACAGUACCGGGAGAAUAAGCUCCGGCUAACUCCGUG